UACGUAGGGUGCGAGCGUUAAUCGGAAUUACUGGGCGUAAAGCGUGCGUAGGCGGUUCUCCAAGUCCGUUGUGAAAGCCCCGGGCUCAACCUGGGAAUGGCAGUGGAAACUAGGGGACUGGAAUCUGGCAGAGGGGGGUGGAAUGCCGGCGUGUAGCAGUGAAAUGCGUAGAUAUGCGGAGGAACACCGAUGGCGAAGGCAAUCCCCUGGGCCUGUACUGACGCUCAGUGCACGAAAGCGUGGGGAGCAAACAGG
rnacentral:rRNA from 1 species